UCCCCAGUAUCUCCCUUUGAGACCCUACUCAAAAGAGGGCUCUGUGGGGCAACAACCCCAAUAAAUACCCUACUGGCACUGAUAGUACGUCCUUCCACCUUCAGCUGCAUCAGACCGUUAUCAUUAAACUCAGUGAGGUCUCAGAGACCUUCCAAAGUUGGGGUCAAGUUCCAUUUUAUCCACUUCUUCCACCACCUACCACAUGACUUGCAUUGCCGUAUUUCCUACCCCAAGCAUAGAAACAAAUAAUUUGAUGGCAGAUAAGAACCACUUAGCCCAACGUUUUUUUUUCUAUCCUGCAAAAUGAAUCUAAAUAAUUUUUUGUUCCUCUAGCUUUACAGAUUUUGUUAUUCUGUUGCUCUGAAUUAAAUCACGUUCGAGUCCCAUGCAUAUCAAUGACAGCUGGCCUCCGUGAAAGACGGACGUAUCAAUAAUGGUACAUGUAAUAUAAUUAUAAAUUAGAUAAUGAGAUUCUUCCUCUUGACCGUAUCAUUAGUGACAAGUGAUAAUGACCCCUUAUUCAGAUUUUAAAUGUAAAAGAAAAUAAAAUUGAUUUAAUUAAGAUGACGGGGAAUGAUUCAGACAGUAUAAUUAGUUAUGUGGCUGUGAAAAAAAAUUCUUGUACAAAAGCUGACACAAUGGGAUCCAAUUACGCAGGGAGAUCACCUGACUGUUUGUAAGAAAAAAAUCAUGUACAGGUAGUUUUUCAUUCCAUUCAUUCAUUCAUUCAUUCAUUAUAUAGCUGUCAAGGAAUACUUUGGAUUUUAAAAAUUAACACCCAAUAAAAAAAAUCUCUUUUGAUUCUUGGAGUAAAGGGGUCCUCCCUUGAAGUGCAUUUUGUUCCACCGAUUGGCUGCUUGAAGCCCAGAAUAACUUAAAACAGAAUAUUAAAGAAGAAUUGUUUUCAGUGCUGGAUCCAAUGAUGGUUUUAUCUGAGAUACGAGGGUUUCGAUUUCAGGAAGACCCUACACGCUUUGCCAAAACAUUCUCUUUUGGUCCAUAAGAUGCAGACUUUUGAUAUUUCCAUUUUAAGCGUUCCCAGUCAUUUGUGAAAAAGUGGCUCCAAGAAAGACUUAGUAACGACUCAUUUCCAGACACGCUUUAUCACGAGCAGAUGACACAAGCUGGCAAUUGACUUACAGUUUAUUUUUUUUCCAAAAGAUUUGCAUUUUCCUUCUGGCGGAAAUUUUUGCCAGCAAAAAAGUUAAUCAUCACUCCUACAUUUCUCUUGGAAAGAAGCUAGACAUUGGAAAUCUUUAAAAUAUAAUGGACAUGUAUCUAAUAUAUAUAUAUAUAUAUAAUACCCAUGUCACUGUGAGUUCUCAGUCCAUAUGGGCAGAUCAUGCCAGGGUCUUCAGUGUUUUCAGAUGAAGUGAGUAAAAAAAGGGAGAUGUAAAGGCAGAAGUGUAGAGAGGAAGAUUGAAAGAUAGGGAGAGAAAGAAGGAUGAAAGAGAGGGAAAGUAAUGGAGAAAGGAAGAAAGAAGGAUUGGUAGGAGGGAAAAAGGUUAGUGGGAGGAGAGAUAGGUAAAUGAUAGAACAAAGAAAUAGGGAGAGAAAAAGGGAAGGGAGGUGAAAAGAGAAGAGUGAAAUGAAAGAAAGAGAAAGGAAGAGAGUGAAGAAAGAUAGGGAGAACAAAAGAGAAAGAUAGA